GAAGUAGAUAGCUUAACCUUCGGGGGGGCGUUUACCACGGUAUGAUUCAUGACUGGGGUGAAGUCGUAACAAGGUAACCGUAGGGGAACCUGCGGUUGGAUCACCUCCUUACCAA
rnacentral:rRNA from 1 species